AAGCUGGAUUCGCUAGUAAUCGCGCAUCAGCCACGGCGCGGUGAAUACGUUCCCGGGCCUUGUACACACCGCCCGUCACACCAUGGGAGUCGGUAACACCCGAAGUCGGUAGCCUAACCGUAAGGAGGGCGCCGCCGAAGGUGGGAUUGAUGACUGGGUGAAGUCGUAACAAGGUAAC
rnacentral:rRNA from 1 species